rnacentral:misc_RNA from 1 species
UGUGGGAGCGAGCCUGCUCGCGAUAGCGGCGUGUCAGUCAACAUGAAUAUUGCUGAUCUACUGCCAUCGCGAGCAGGCUCGCUCCCACA